CAUCGUUGUUGCUUUUGACCAACAUUGCGUUCUGUGAUGCAUUCACAUUGGAAAAAGAAAACACAAAAUUCCUCCUUCCUCGUAGAUAGAGAACCAUGGCUCUGAAUUUCAAGAGAAACUGAGUCAGAAGCUGAAACGAGGCUGAACUGAGCUUGAAUUACUGAUUCACAGAAGCAGAAAAACAGAGUGGAAGGACUGAGCAGAAGUCAGCCGACUGCCCUGAAGGACUGCUGGUAGGCUUUGCGAAUUUUUUGCUUCUGUCUCAGAUUCAUUCCUGCAUAUCAUUUGUACCAUCUUAACCAUGCAAAGAAAUAUCACAAUGAUAAUUUUUUCCUGUCUACUUGUAGAAUUCAAUGAUCUUUAUAUCUGAUUUUGCAGACUUGCAUUGUCAUUGUAAAAGUAUUGCUUUAAUUCUUUUCUGGAUAUCCAACUACUUGUAUGAAUUGGAGGAACUGCUAAAAUAGAGCCUCUGUUUAUUGCAUGUUUGCUAUGUCCUUGAUGAUAUGCUGUUGGCAUUUUUCACUAUUCUAUAUA